ACAAAACCAAAACAACAGAAGAUGUUACGAUUCUAGAAGGUUAAGCAUGAUGUGAUAGCUUUGUGUUUAUUUUUGCCUUCAUAUGGAUGUUCAGAAAAGUUAUUUAGAGCAUAAAUUUUAUUCUUGUCAUCCUUUUUCAGAAGCUAAAACUUUAAGACAGUGAAAGAUCAAGUGAUUUGCAUAUUGUAACAUUAAAGGACUCCAGUUCUGGCUACUUUGCGCUGACAGGUAAAUACACUGGGGCUACAGGCACUGAAAAGAAAAAAACCAUGGAGUCAGUUUUACAUAUAAAGGAGACACAGAGAACUCCCUGCAGAAGGAAAAAAAGGAAGGAAAGUUUCAAAGACUAAUUGUGGGCUGUAGUUUAUUAAUUGGAGUGAAUGUCUUGUGUGCACUGGGACAUCCAUUCCUGGGCCCACAUGGUAAUGCCUCUUUGCCAAGGGCUGCAGACUCCCAGCUUCCCUGUGGCUGCCUGGCUCUGUUUCACAUGGUGCUAAGAGCUCCGAAUCCCUGUCUCCAGCCACUCUGAGGUUUAAGUCAUGGGAGAGUAACUCAUGCUCCGUGUGGAGAAAGGAGCCUACAAAAGCAAAAAUGCCCACAGCAUUUCCAGGAACCACGGAAGUCUUCAUGCAGCCCUCGUAAUGAUGAC